CACAAAGUACUAUACUGGGUGAUCAGAA
rnacentral:piRNA from 1 species